GACGAACCGUACAAACGUUAUUCGGAAUUACUGAGCUUAAAGGGUGCGUAGGCGGUGCGUUAAGUCGGGUGUGAAAUCCCUCAGCUCAACUGAGGAACUGCGCCCGAUACUGACGUGCUUGAGGGAGACAGGGGUGAGCGGAACUGAUGGUGGAGCGGUGAAAUGCGUUGAUAUCAUCAGGAACACCGGUGGCGAAAGCGGCUCACUGGGUCUCUACUGACGCUGAUGCACGAAAGCUAGGGUAGCGAACGGG
rnacentral:rRNA from 1 species